AUUGAACGCUGGCGGCAGGCCUAACACAUGCAAGUCGAACGGUAACAGGAAGAAGCUUGCUUCUUUGCUGACGAGUGGCGGACGGGUGAGUAAUGUCUGGGAAACUGCCUGAUGGAGGGGGAUAACUACUGGAAACGGUAGCUAAUACCGCAUAACGUCGCAAGACCAAAGAGGGGGACCUUCGGGCCUCUUGCCAUCGGAUGUGCCCCGAUGGGAUGAGCUUGUUGGUGGGGUAACGGCUCACCAAGGCGACGAUCCCUGGCUCGUCUGAGAGGAUGACCAGCGACCCGGGAACUGGGACACGCUCCAGGCUCCUACGGGAGGCAGCAGUGGCGAAUAUUGCACAACGGGCGCAAGCCUGAUGCAGCCAUGCCGAGUGUAUGAAGAAGGCCCUCGGGUUGUAAAGUACGUUCAGCGGGGAGGAAGGGAGUAAAGUUAAUACCUUGGCUCAUUGACGUUACCCGCAGAAGAAGCACCGGCUAACUCCGUG
rnacentral:rRNA from 1 species